rnacentral:rRNA from 1 species
AACGAACGCUGGCGGCAUGCCUAACACAUGCAAGUCGAACGAGACCUUCGGGUCUAGUGGCGCACGGGUGCGUAACGCGUGGGAACCUGCCUUGAGGUUCGGAAUAACGCAGAGGAAUUUGAGCUAAUACCGGAUGAUGUCUUCGGACCAAAGAUUUAUCGCCUUUAGAUGGGCCCGCGUUGGAUUAGCUAGUUGGUGGGGUAAAGGCCUACCAAGGCGACGAUCCAUAGCUGGUCUGAGAGGAUGAUCAGCGACACUGGGACUGAGACACGGCCCAGACUACUACGGGAGGCAGCAGUGGGGAAUAUUGGACAAUGGGCGAAAGCCUGAUCCAGCAAUGCCGCGUGAGUGAUGAAGGCCUUAGGGUUGUAAAGCUCUUUUACCCGAGAUGAUAAUGACAGUAUCGGGAGAAUAAGCUCCGGCUAACUCCGUG